GCUUGGUGGCAUUGGAGAAGAGGAAAUACCUGAUCCCAUCCCGAACUCAGAAGUCAAGCUCUUUAUCGCCGAUGGUACUACACACGAGAGUGUGGGAGAGUAGGUCGUCGCCAAGUC
rnacentral:rRNA from 1 species